rnacentral:rRNA from 1 species
GACGAACGCUGGCGGCGUGCCUAAUACAUGCAAGUUGAGCGCUGAAGGUUGGUACUUGUACCAACUGGAUGAGCAGCGAACGGGUGAGUAACGCGUGGGGAAUCUGCCUUUGAGCGGGGGACAACAUUUGGAAACGAAUGCUAAUACCGCAUAAAAACUUUAAACACAAGUUUUAAGUUUGAAAGAUGCAAUUGCAUCACUCAAAGAUGAUCCCGCGUUGUAUUAGCUAGUUGGUGAGGUAAAGGUUCACCAAGGCGAUGAUACAUAGCCGACCUGAGAGGGUGAUCGGCCACAUUGGGACUGAGACACGGCCCAAACUCCUACGGGAGGCAGCAGUAGGGAAUCUUCGGCAAUGGACGAAAGUCUGACCGAGCAACGCCGCGUGAGUGAAGAAGGUUUUCGGAUCGUAAAACUCUGUUGGUAGAGAAGAACGUUGGUGAGAGUGGAAAGCUCAUCAAGUGACGGUAACUACCCAGAAAGGGACGGCUAACUACGUG